GUUUUCUGGAUCACAUAAAAAAUGAUGAAGCACAUGAAAACGUUUCCUAAAUCUGAAAGUGCUGCACAAAUGCUCAUGAUUCCACAAAGGCCAAGAGAAGAGAGGGGACAAUAACAGAGAGAGCAGACAAUAGAGGAGGCCACGAAGAGAGAGUGAGAAGGAAAUGAGUUGGGUCUUUGCUGGCGUGCAGACCGGAAGAAUCUGGACAAUAGAAUCCACGUCAAGGGUAGAAAUACAAAUUUAGGAGCUGCCAAAACACAAGUGAUAAAAGAGGUCACACAAGUAGAUAAACUGACCUAGGUAUCUCGGAGUAAAAAAGGUGGCCCAGCAAAAGCCUUUGGAAUAACGCAGAAGCGCACCCCCAGAGAGGGAUCAGGGAAGGAAGCAGGGAAGGCAGCUGGGGGGUUCUGAGGAGAAGGGGAGGUUCUGUGGAGAAGGGGGGUUUUGAGGAGAAGAGGGUUCUGUGGAGAAGGGGGGUCUGAGGAGAAGGAGGUUCUGAAGAGAAGGGGGUUCUGAGGAGAAGGGGAGGUCCUGUGGAGAAGGGGGGUUCUGUGGAGAAGGGGGGUUCUGUGGAGAAGGGGGGUUUUGAGGAGAAGAGGGUUCUGUGGAGAGGGGGAGUUUUGAGGAGAAGGGGUUUCUGUGGAGAAGGGGGUUCUGUGGAGAAGGGGGGUUCUGAAGAGAAGGGGGUUCUGAAGAGAAGGGGGGUUCUGAGAAGUGGGUCUUAAGGAAGAGAGGGGGAAAUAUAGCAGCUAAAGAGUGACAGGCUUUCUUAGCAAAAGAGAACAGGUGGAAGAAUGGCCCAGGCUGUGUUAAAAAAAG